rnacentral:tRNA from 1 species
GGUGUUGUGGCUCAGUGGUAGAGCACUCACCUAGCACAUUCGAGGCCCUGAGUUCGAUCCUCAGCACCAUAU